rnacentral:tRNA from 11 species
GCGGGUGUAGCUCAGCGGUAGAGCACUUGCUUGCCAAGCAAGGGGUCGCGGGUUCGAAACCCGUCACCCGCUCCA